AUUGAACGCUGGCGGAAUGCUUUACACAUGCAAGUCGAACGGCAGCACGGGUGCUUGCACCUGGUGGCGAGUGGCGAACGGGUGAGUAAUAUAUCGGAACGUAUCCAAUAAUGGGGGAUAACUAGCCGAAAGGUUAGCUAAUACCGCAUACGCCCUGAGGGGGAAAGCUGGGGAUCGUAAGACCUAGCGUUGAUGGAGCGGCCGAUAUCUGAUUAGCUAGUUGGUGGGGUAAGAGCCUACUAAGGCGACGAUCAGUAGCUGGUCUGAGAGGACGACCAGCCACACUGGAACUGAGACACGGUCCAGACUCCUACGGGAGGCAGCAGUGGGGAAUCUUGGACAAUGGGGGCAACCCUGAUCCAGCCAUUCCGCGUGAGUGAGGAAGGCCUUCGGGUUGUAAAGCUCUUUCGCAAGGGAAGAAAACUCGAUCUCUAAUAUAGGUUGAGGCUGACGGUACCUUGAUAAGAAGCACCGGCUAACUACGUGCCAGCAGCCGCCGUAA
rnacentral:rRNA from 1 species